rnacentral:rRNA from 1 species
CCUACGGGAGACAGCAGUGAGGAAUAUUGGUCAAUGGGCUUACGCCUGAACCAGCCAAGUCGCGUGAGGGAAGACUGCCCUAUGGGUUGUAAACCUCUUUUGUCAGGGAGCAACGCCGGCUACGUGUAGCCGGACUGAGAGUACCUGAAGAAAAAGCAUCGGCUAACUCCGUGCCAGCAGCCGCGGUAAUACGGAGGAUGCGAGCGUUAUCCGGAUUUAUUGGGUUUAAAGGGUGCGUAGGCGGAAUGCCAAGUCAGCGGUAAAAUCGCGGGGCUCAACCUCGCUCCGCCGUUGAAACUGGCGUUCUUGAGUGGGCGAGAAGUAUGCGGAAUGCGUGGUGUAGCGGUGAAAUGCAUAGAUAUCACGCAGAACUCCGAUUGCGAAGGCAGCAUACCGGCGCCCUACUGACGCUGAGGCACGAAAGUGCGGGGAUCGAACAGGAUUAGAUACCCCGGUAGUC